rnacentral:rRNA from 1 species
GACGAACGCUGGCGGCGUGCUUAACACAUGCAAGUCGAACGGAAAGGCCCUGCUUUUGUGGGGUGCUCGAGUGGCGAACGGGUGAGUAACACGUGAGUAACCUGCCCUUGACUAUGGGAUAACUUCGGGAAACCGGAGCUAAUACCGGAUAAUAUUUUGAACCGCAUGGUUCAAAAGUGAAAGACGGUCUUGCUGUCACUUAUAGAUGGAUCCGCGCUGCAUUAGCUAGUUGGUAAGGUAACGGCUUACCAAGGCAACGAUGCAUAGCCGACCUGAGAGGGUGAUCGGCCACACUGGAACUGAGACACGGUCCAGACUCCUACGGGAGGCAGCAGUAGGGAAUCUUCCGCAAUGGGCGAAAGCCUGACGGAGCAACGCCGCGUGAGUGAUGAAGGUCUUCGGAUCGUAAAACUCUGUUAUUAGGGAAGAACAUAUGUGUAAGUAACUGUGCACAUCUUGACGGUACCUAAUCAGAAAGCCACGGCUAACUACGUG